CCUACGGGAGGCAGCAGUGGGGAAUAUUGGACAAUGGGGGAAACCCUGAUCCAGCAAUGCCGCGUGUGUGAAGAAGGCCUGCGGGUUGUAAAGCACUUUCGGUUGGGAAGAAAAGUUUGGCGCCAAUACCGCCGAACCUUGACGUUACUGACAGAAGAAGCACCGGCUAACUCUGUGC
rnacentral:rRNA from 1 species